CCUACGGGUGGCAGCAGUCGAGAAUCAUUCACAAUGGGGGAAACCCUGAUGGUGCGACGCCGCGUGGGGGAAUGAAGGUCUUCGGAUUGUAAACCCCUGUCAUGGGGGAGCAAAUGAAAAUAAUAGUACCACAAGAGGAAGAUACAUCUAACUCUGUGCCAGCAGCAGCGGUAAUACAGAGGGCGCAAGCGUUGUUCGGAAUCACUGGGCGUAAAGUGGGCGUAGGCGGUUUCGUAAGGCGUGUGUGAAAGGCGAGGGCUCAACCCGCGGACGGCACAUGAUACUGCGAGACUAGAGUAAUGGAGGGGGAACCGGAAUUCUCGGUGUAGCAGUGAAAUGCGUAGAUA
rnacentral:rRNA from 1 species